UACGUAGGGUGCAAGCGUUGUCCGAAAUUAUUGGGCGUAAAGAGCUCGUAGGCGGUUCGUCGCGUCGGCUGUGAAAUCCCGAGGCUCAACCUCGGGUCUGCAGUCGAUACGGGCGGACUGGAGUUCGGCAGGGGAGACUGGAAUUCCUGGUGUAGCGGUGAAAUGCGCAGAUAUCAGGAGGAACACCGGUGGCGAAGGCGGGUCUCUGGGCCGAUACUGACGCUGAGGAGCGAAAGCGUGGGGAGCGAACAGG
rnacentral:rRNA from 1 species